UGCCAGCAGUCGCGGUUACACCAAGAAGUUAAGUCAUAUUUUAUAGGUAAAAAGACAGUUAAAUUUAUUUAAUAAAUUAUAUAACUCUUUAUAAAGAAGUAAAAUUCAAAUAUAAAGAUUUAAUCUUAUAAUAAUUUGUAAAUUGAAGCUGUGAAAUCCUUGAGGGAAACUGGGAUUAGAUACCCCAUUAUUCUUGGUUAUAAAUUAAUAAAUUAUUUACCAGAGUACUAUGAAUACUAAAAAAUUUAAAACUCAAAGGGCUUGGCGGUGUUUUAGACUACUCAGGGGAACCUGUCUCAUAAUCGAUAAUCCACGUUAAACCUGACCUCUUUUUGCAAUCAGCUUGUAUACCGUUGUCGUCAGGUAACUUUUUAGAAACUAAAAGUUAGCUACUAGUCUUAAGCUAAAACGUCAAAUCAAGGUGCAGUUAAUAAAGAGGGGAGGAUGGGUUACAAUUAUAGAAUUAUAAUAACGGAAAGCUAUCAGAACUGAAGCUAUAAAGGAGGACUUGAAAGUAAAAUAAAUUAUAUAAAUAUCUUGAAUACAGCUCUGAAAUGUGCACACAUCGCCCGUCGCUCU
rnacentral:rRNA from 1 species